rnacentral:rRNA from 1 species
UACAGAGGUCUCAAGCGUUGUUCGGAUUCAUUGGGCGUAAAGGGUGCGUAGGUGGCGCUGUAAGUCGGGUGUGAAAUUUCGGAGCUUAACUCCGAAACUGCAUUCGAUACUGCGGUGCUUGAGGACUGGAGAGGAGACUGGAAUUCAUGGUGUAGCAGUGAAAUGCGUAGAGAUCAUGAGGAAGACCAGUGGCGAAGGCGGGUCUUUGGACAGUUCCUGACACUGAGGCACGAAGGCCAGGGGAGCAAACGGG